rnacentral:rRNA from 1 species
GUAGGGAAUCUUCCACAAUGGACGAAAGUCUGAUGGAGCAACGCCGCGUGAGUGAAGAAGGUUUUCGGAUCGUAAAACUCUGUUGUAAGGGAAGAACACGUACGAGAGUAACUGCUCGUACCUUGACGGUACCUUAUUAGAAAGCCACGGCUAACUACGUGCCAGCAGCCGCGGUAAUACGUAGGUGGCAAGCGUUGUCCGGAAUUAUUGGGCGUAAAGCGCGCGCAGGCGGUUCUUUAAGUCUGAUGUGAAAGCCCACGGCUCAACCGUGGAGGGUCAUUGGAAACUGGAGAACUUGAGUACAGAAGAGGAAAGCGGAAUUCCACGUGUAGCGGUGAAAUGCGUAGAGAUGUGGAGGAACACCAGUGGCGAAGGCGGCUUUCUGGUCUGUAACUGACGCUGAGGCGCGAAAGCGUGGGGAGCAAACAGG